GAAAAUGUCUCUCAAUCUUCUUAUCAAAUGAAAAGCAAGAUCCAAAACCAUAAAAUGAGUAAGAGCCUACUGUUCGUUUAAAGUGUACUUAUUAAAAUGUGCAUAGCAGAAUGUUAACAGACGCUGCCUUUAGGGAGAGAUAAAAAGCAUAAUGACAUUAGAUGGUGGCCUUAUGCUGUUGUCUCUGGAAGAUCUCCGGCUGUGAGGAAGUCCCUCUAACUUACAACCUGCUCAAGUGCCUCCUAGAUAAAGCGCACUGUGUACUCCUGACAUCUUGUGGUUACAUCUUUUCCUUGAUCAGUCCAGAAAUUCUCAAACUCACUUUAAUCACUAUCCUCUUAAUACUCAAAAAUCUACACUUACUGUGGCUGACAGUUUCAAGCAGAUGUGUUCAUCGCAGUAGUGCAAGAAAAGAAAAGUAGAAGAACCCUGCAGAGAUUUGAUGGAACCCAGCUUCUAUUCAUUAAAACCAAUGGCAAAAUAUAAAGCAAAUAGGAGGUGACGAAGGUUACAAAGAUACGUAUUGUUUAUGUUUUCCCUGGGGUGUGCUGAUUGUCAGGCAUCAGUUCCCUGUGCCAUUCAUUCCCCAACACAGCAUGCAUCAGAAAUUUUAUCAAUAAAUGCUUUCUCUCUCAAUGUUCAACCUAUGCUGAUAGACCAUUAAAUACAGUUUUUGGGUUCACAGCUUGUCAUCAUCAUUUGUCUAUACCUGUGGCAAAGAAUAUCUAAUAAGAUACUCUCAGCAUUUUGCACACUUAAACUAAGAUGCUGAAUGCUGUAUUUUACGGAAUAAUCAGCCACAUUAAAUUUGGAGACUCAACAAGCAUGCUGUGAACAUUCAACAUUAGGUUUAAAUUUUAUUUUUAAAAGUUAAUAAUAAAAGGAUAUAUGUUAAGUAUUAUGAAACCCUGCAUAUAUUGUAAUAAAAUGGUGGAUGUGAAUGGACAAUAUAUGCAAUAAAAUUUAUAAUUUGAUUCUGA
rnacentral:lncRNA from 1 species